rnacentral:rRNA from 1 species
AUUGAACGCUGGCGGCAGGCCUAACACAUGCAAGUCGAACGAGUGGCGGACGGGUGAGUAAUGUCUUGGAAACUGCCCGAUGGAGGCGGAUAACUACUGGAAACGGUAGCUAAUAGCGCAUACCAUCGGAUGUGCCCAGAUUGGAUUAUCUAGUGGGUGGGGUAACGGCUCACCUAGGCGACGAUCCCUAGCUGGUCUGAGAGGAUGACCAGCCACACUGGAACUGAGACACGGCCCAGACUCCUACGGGAGGCAGCAGUGGGGAAUAUUGCACAAUGGGCGAAAGCCUGACACAGCCAUGCCGCGUGUAUGAAGAAGGCCUUCGGGUUGUAAAGUACUUUCAGCGAGGAGGCGUUACUCGAAGAAGAAGCACCGGCUAACUCCGUGCCAGCAGCCGCGGUAAUAC